GAUGAACGCUAGCGGGAGGCUUAACACAUGCAAGUCGAGGGGUAUAAUGUAGCUUGCUAUAUUAGAGACCGGCGGAUGGGUGAGUAACACGUGUGCAAUCUGCCUCUAUCAAUGGGAUAGCCCGAAGAAAUUCGGAUUAAUACCGUAUAAUAUAAUUAAUUGCAUAAUUAAUUAUUGAAAGAGUAUAGCUUGAUUUAUUUAAGAGAUAUAUCGGAUAGAGAUGAGCACGCGCAUGAUUAGUUAGUUGGUAAGGUAACGGCUUACCAAGGCAACGAUCAUUAGGGGGCCUGAGAGGGUGAUCCCCCACACUGGUACUGAGACACGGACCAGACUCCUACGGGGAGGCAGCAGGUGGGAAUAUUGGACAAUGGGGUGAGAGCCCUGAUCCCAGCCCAUCCCCGCGUGAAGGGAAGACGGUCCUAUGGAUUGUAAACUUUCUUUUGUAUAGGAAUUAAACCUACUUACGUGUAAGUAGCUGAAGGUACUAUACGAAUAA
rnacentral:rRNA from 1 species